GCGUAUCGAAAAAGAAGCGCGUGUUUUCACCAACGACAUCGACCGAGCUUUUAUCUAAUUUAAGACAAGGACUGCCUUCGGACUUUGACUGCAUGCAUGGCAUAGAGGGGGUCAUGUUCAUCCUGCCUUGUUUGUUGCACGUAGCGAGACAAGCAAAUUCAUUUUUGAAUAAAUUCUCUGUGCCCCAGCAGCCCUGCCAAAAGAUCUUCCUGCAGGCGUUGGCAGUCGUGUCGUAAGUCCAACGUGGAAUCACUCCACUGCACUCCGGGGCAUCCGAAGGACGAUUGAUGGACGGAAGGGAGCAAAUGUCGACAACUUUGGUCUCGUUUGCUACCGUGUAAUUCUCCACGACAGGAGACUCAGUUGGGCCUGUGUUUUAAUAUGUAACGAAUUGAUUUUCUCAACUUGUGAAAACUGAAAAUCGACGUAUAAAACUUACGUGGGAUGGCCCACACGAUCGACGUUGCAGAACACAAAAGAAUAACAAAUUUUUUCGACUGUCCCAGCAUGACGGUUCACUUAAAUUCACAGGCCCAGAAGAAAGCAAAUGAAAAAUGAAAGAACACAAGGAUCUGUAUAAGCUCGCGAAAUCCGGGAACGACUGCCGACUUCCAUCCGUCUCUGCUCUUUAUAUACUUGCCAUAGGUAAGACUCGUCAAGCGAGUCCCAUUCCUUGGCGAAAUAUCAGCCACAUUUGUCUUGAAGUUGGGUUGAUCGUUUGAGAAGGUCUGUGCACUGAUGAGGAACUUUUUACUUGCUAGACUUUCUCUGGGAUCGCACGAAUAACCUUAAGGCGUCCAAUGGUCGCAAUCAAUCACGGAGAAACAAGUUUUUGCACUCUGUAUUAUUAGUCUAUCUAAAAUAUUAGUAGGCUAUGUAUAGCUGUAUUUGUAAUAUUAUGCUUGAUACUUGGGGGCCUUGAUUUUAAUUUCCUGGAUUUGUGCGAGCAACUUUACCAUCUAAUUUAUUCCAUCUGUCGUUUUUUUUUCCUUUUUUUUUAAAUUGUUAGUUGACCUAGCUCGUGGCAAUUUUGCUGCAAAAACAAAAUCUUUAUUUGGAAAGGAGAGCUUUGCACCCCGGGUAACGAAAAUUGAAAAAUGGAAAUCUCAAUAGAACUUAGUCCAUAUUUGGAUAUGAAUUUUACAUUGGAUUCGACUCACUUCCUUUAACGUAACAGAAUGAUGAUGAAUGUAUUAGCUUUUUCAACAUGUACUGCGAUAAAUAAAAAGAAACGCCUGAAAAUAUGAGCAAGGGCGGCCUUCAA